rfam:Capsella rubella cultivar Monte Gargano unplaced genomic scaffold scaffold_1, whole genome shotgun sequence.
GAGAAACACUUGAUCUCUAAACUUCUCAAGUAAGUUUGCUUGUUGAUAUAAAGGUAUGCAGUAUGCUGAUGCU